GUUUGGUUAAGUUAGAAAGGGCGCACGGUGGAUGCCUUGACACUAGGAGUCGAUGAAGGACGGGACUAACGCCGAUAUGCUUCGGGGAGCUGUAAGUAAGCUUUGAUCCGAAGAUUUCCGAAUGGGGAAACCCACUAUACGUAAUGGUAUGGUAUCCUUACCUGAAUACAUAGGGUAUGGAAGACAGACCCAGGGAACUGAAACAUCUAAGUACCUGGAGGAAGAGAAAGCAAAUGCGAUUUCCUGAGUAGCGGCGAGCGAAACGGAAUCUAGCCCAAACCAAGAGGCUUGCCUCUUGGGGUUGUAGGACAUUCUAUACGGAGUUACAAAGGAACGAGGUAGACGAAGCGACCUGGAAAGGUCCGUCGUAGAGGGUAACAACCCCGUAGUCGAAACUUCGUUCUCUCUUGAAUGUAUCCUGAGUACGGCGGAACACGUGAAAUUCCGUCGGAAUCUGGGAGGACCAUCUCCCAAGGCUAAAUACUCCCUAGUGAUCGAUAGUGAACCAGUACCGUGAGGGAAAGGUGAAAAGCACCCCGGAAGGGGAGUGAAAGAGAUCCUGAAACCGUGUGCCUACAAAUAGUCAGAGCCCGUUAAUGGGUGAUGG
rnacentral:rRNA from 1 species